CCUUCCUUGCAGUCCAUCUGUUUCCACUAAUGCGUUCUCACAUUGCUCCGCUUACAUAGAUGUUUAUCACAAGAAUGGGAAAGACUUCACUUUGAAGAACACAUAUAGCUCCCUCAGAACAGUCCUCCCAGAUUGAGGUAAAGAUGAUGCAGGUGGUGUCUCUCUCCACACGUUCCUUCGCAUGACGCAGUCUUUAAUUUGGCUGAGUGGUGGAGCGUCCGCCGAGCACUAAAUCUCCAUCUAAGGUUGCAGCUUUGACCUUUGGAGGAAUUGGAUGUUAUGGCGGUUAAUUGCGCAACUAUUGCUCCCCCUCUUUACUCCAGACGCACCAGAAAGAUUACUUAAAGGCACAGGUGCAGGAAUGGCCCAAGGCUCAUCAAAAGGCUUUUUUUUGUUGUUGUUGUCCUUUUUGGUUUCCAGCAGAAGUCCCCGAGGGCUAUCUGUUCGGAUGCUUCAUGAGCCACUGCCUGAGGCCAGGAUUUGAAACGCAUCUACUGAUAAAUGAACACCCAAUUCCAGCCAGACCCCCGUCCUUUUGUUCCUCCUCUUAUAGAUUGUACAGCUUUAUUAAAAGCCACGCUCGGUGAAAGUUAAA